rnacentral:lncRNA from 1 species
CUAUUUUAGGAGAACCUGAAGAUAGUCAAAUUCCGCAAGCGCCGCCACCUCCAGCACUUUUUAACCAACGCUUAACCAAUCCUAAUUACAAUGAAACAACUCGGUCAACAGCUCAGCCAAAAUUAGCUCGCACAAGUUCC